CUUGGAAUUAUGGUCCAGUCUACACCUAAAUAUUAGUUCUUUGAGUCCUUGCUCAUGUUGAUCUGUUCUAGGUGUGUGUGCACCCAUGUGUGCAGU